rfam:Triticum urartu cultivar G1812 contig1070668, whole genome shotgun sequence.
AUAGUACUUCCUCUGUCCGGAAAUACUUGUCGUCAAAAUGGAUUAAAUGAGAUGUAUCUAGAUGUAUUUUAGUUCUAAAUACAUCUCAUUUUAUCCAUUUUAAUAACAAGUAUUUUUGAACGGAGGUAGUAUUCG